CACAGACAAGUCAAUUUUUAGUAAGGGAUGGCGUUGGUCCCUGAUGACAUUCUCCUUAGAAAGAUAAUUAAAGGAAAAUGUGAGAAAUAUGUUGACACGUGGAAAUCAAAAUUCUGAGAUAGAAAGCACGUGGCCAAGAGUGGCAUUAGGAAAGAUAAAGAGAGAGACGGCAGAGAGAACUUCAAGGUUGCAGGAAACAAGAGGAAGAACCAUGCACUUACCCCAGGCUUUAUUGUGGAUUGUGAGGAUGAAUGAAUAUGUAACAAAGCAUAGUUGAUUCUCAUUGGUAGCAUAGAUAAUGACAAGAUCAGAGUAGGUGGGGAUUCACCUGACAUGCACUUUUCAGAGGAAUGAGGUCUGACAAGGUGAGGGCUAAGCCUUUGUGGCUUAGGCUCAAUAAUUCUCUUGCCCUUAGAUCAUUAACUGCUCUGAUCAAGUAUUUAAAACAUCAGCCAUACUUCCAUGCCUGGUAUGCUACAUUUCUCUGCCUAGAUUUUUUUAAGCCACAUUUCUCCAAGGAUUUUCAGGAAAAAAAAGCCUCUUGAUUAGCUCGUACCUGCUGCCUGCUCUUGCUUCCUGCUAUCCCUGAUUGCCUCUCUGCACCUUCUUGACCAAGAUAGCUCACCUGGCCCCAGCCCCGUCCACCCCGGCUCUGACUCUGGCUCUGACUCCUAACCUCCAGCCAUCUCACUCACCUGGCCCAGCCCCAGCCCGGCCCCAGCAACUCUGGCCUCUGACCCAGAUCGCUGCUGGUAGCUGCCCCAAUUUCUUCAGGACCACAAACCAACUGUGGAUCAUGGCCAGGCAUGAAGAGGAAAUGGAUCUCAUUUUUGAAACUGAACUGUUUGGAGAAGACACCAUGAGGAUGCCUCCAGACCACAAACUGCAUGAAAAGAUCAAGGAUGAACUUUGGGUGAGGUUGAUUGAACAUUUAUUUGUAUGUAUACUUUCAUGCCAAAGGGAACUGCCCCCUAACUGGUUUUUUGUCAAUGCGGCUAGCAAUUAUUGGUUUUGUUCUUUUUUCCUCUUAUCUUCAAAUUAUUGUAAUCUUUAUGUUGAUUAUGUUUUCAUGAUCCUUUUGGGGAAACUGGUUUAUAUAAUUAAUAAUUAUUGCUGAUAUUUAGGUAGCACUUUAAAGGUUUACAGUGUUUUAUUACAUUAUUUCAAUUUAGCCUUGUAACAACUAUGAGAGGUAGGUGUUAUUGUCAUCAUCAUCAUCAUCAUCAUCAUCUCCAAUUUGCAGAUGAGGAAACAAGCCCAGGCAGGAUAAGUGACUCACCUAAGUUCAUAUAGCUAGUGUAAAAAUGGAGAUUUGAACCCCAGACUUCAAUCCCUAGAAGUCCUUGAUACUUCCCAGAAUUCCCUAUAAUCUCACCUGAGUCUCCACCUGGAUGAGAUCACAAUUUAUUAUUUAAAGGGCUCUCCGCCUCUCAAGGGCUCUCUUCCUCUACUCAGAGAUUGCAACAUGUUGUAAGAAGGCUGUGAAUGGACUAAUCGUGCCCUAGGCAUGGGGCUUAUUAUUUUGUAUCCUUG
rnacentral:lncRNA from 1 species